UACGUAGGGUGCGAGCGUUGUCCGGAAUUAUUGGGCGUAAAGAGCUCGUAGGCGGUUUGUUGCGUCGGCUGUGAAAUCCCGAGGCUCAACCUCGGGUCUGCAGUCGAUACGAGCAAACUAGAGUGUUGCAGGGGAGACUGGAGUUCCUGGUGUAGCGGUGAAAUGCGCAGAUAUCAGGAGGAACACCGGUGGCGAAGGCGGGUCUCUGGGCAACAACUGACGCUGAGGAGCGAAAGCGUGGGGAGCGAACAGG
rnacentral:rRNA from 1 species